GCAAGAUCCUUUUGCAUUAAGUAGGUCGAGGAUCAUCCUUCAAUGUGCAGCUUCUAAUAUAUGGUCACCACAUAUGAAACACAAGUUGUUAAACAAAGGAGACACGUGAAACACAUAGCAGGAAACAGUUCGUACUUGAGGAAGGAAAACCCACUUCUCCUUCUGGACCAUACAAUUAGGUGCACCGACAAAAUGGAUGGAGAUCAUUGAAGAAACAGUUGUCCGCUAUCGAGUUUCUCCCUUAUCUCACCAUAGUGGCAUUCUGCUAACAAUUUACCAGUUUCAAUGGCAAUAGCUUAGUAGACAAUGCCUUGGCAUACCCACGAGAUGAAUCCAAAAGUGGCACAGCAGGAACCCAAAUAUCAAGGACCUUGUAUAACAAAACCAUCCCUGCUUCCAAAGAAAAAAUUGAAACUAUGCUUUCCUGAAUUUAAUAUAUGAAGAUCUGUAGACUUCCAAGCAACAUUCAUCAUAUUCUACAAUCCCUUCAAAUUAUUCUCUCUCUCUAAAUUAACACACCACAGCCUAACACAUCGGUUCCACCUUUAUACAUGUCAGAAUCUAGACAUUAGUUUGGUCUUCUGCAGCUAUCAAAGAACACUCUUAAAGAUUACUGCAAGAUCUUUUAUCCGUGAAACAAAGCAUUCCAGAUGACCACCCACUUGAUGAUGAUGAUGAACAAGAUUUGCAGAAGCAGCCACGGAAUGGUAAUGAAAAUCAGGUAAAACCACUCUAGCAUGAAUGAGAGAGAAGAAGUCUACAAGAAGCACUCCUUGUAAAGUUUCAAAACAUGCUCAAAGCCUCAAAUUCAAAGUUUUAGACGAGAUGGUUCACACAUUUCAACAAUUACAAAUGAAUUGAAGGAAAUGGACUUCAAGCACUAAAGAUAUUAUCGGAAAGGUUAAUAGCCAAUCAAGUAUGACAUGAUUGUAAUCAAGGGAUUGUCACUAAUUAGAACAAAUACAAGAACACUCGAACAAGGAAAGAGAAACAGUAACCAUGUUGUCAGCCAAUCUACUUAUAGUGAUAGAACAAAAUCCAUUAUGUAUGGUAAUGUUCAAAAGUAUUUCAUAAUGAUAUUUGCUAUUUUGUUGCCCAUUUAUCA